rnacentral:rRNA from 1 species
UACGGAGGAUCCAAGCGUUGUCCGGAUUUCUUGGGUUUAAAGGGUGCGUAGGCGGAUAAUUAAGUCAGUGGUGAAAUCUUGCGGCUCAACCGUAAAAUUGCCAUUGAAACUGAUUAUCUUGAGUACAGUUGAGGUGGGCGGAAUGUAUCAUGUAGCGGUGAAAUGCUUAGAUAUGAUACAGAACACCUAUUGCGAAAGCAGCUCACUAAACUGCAACUGACGCUGAGGCACGAAAGCGUGGGGAUCAAACAGG